CCUACGGGAGGCUGCAGUGAGGAAUAUUGGUCAAUGGGCGCGAGCCUGAACCAGCCAAGUAGCGUGAAGGAUGACUGCCCUACGGGUUGUAAACUUCUUUUAUAAAGGAAUAAAGUGAGGCACGUGUGCCUUUUUGUAUGUACUUUAUGAAUAAGGAUCGGCUAACUCCGUGCCAGCAGCCGCGGUAAUACGGAGGAUCCGAGCGUUAUCCGGAUUUAUUGGGUUUAAAGGGAGCGUAGGCGGAAUGCCAAGUCAGCGGUAAAAUCGCGGGGCUAAACCUCGCUCUGCCGUUGAAACUGGCGGUCUUGAGUGGGGUAGAAGUAGGCGGAAUGCGUGGUGUAGCGGUGAAAUGCAUAGAUAUCACGCAGAACUCCGAUUGCGAAGGCAGCAUACCAGGGCACAACUGACGCUGAAGCACGAAAGCGUGGGGAUCGAACAGGAUUAGAUACCCGAGUAGUC
rnacentral:rRNA from 1 species